UACAGAGAUGGCAAGCGUUGUUCGGAAUCACUGGGCUUAAAGCGCGUGUAGGCGGAGCGAUGGGUGCCUUGUGAAAUCCCCCGGCUCAACCGGGGAAUGGCUUGGCAAACCGGCGCUCUUGAGGCAGGUAGAGGUGGCCGGAACCAUUGGUGGAGCGGUGAAAUGCGUAGAGAUCAAUGGGAACGCCGGUGGCGAAAGCGGGUCACUGGGCCUGUUCUGACGCUGAGACGCGAAAGCGUGGGUAGCAAACAGG
rnacentral:rRNA from 1 species